rnacentral:rRNA from 1 species
UACGUAGGGUGCGAGCGUUGUCCGGAAUUACUGGGCGUAAAGAGCUCGUAGGUGGUUUGUCGCGUUGUUCGUGAAAUCUCACGGCUUAACUGGGAGGGGUCGUUCGAUACUGGCGGGCUCGAGGCAGGUAGGGGGAAGCGGAAUUCCCGGUGUAGUGGUGGAAUGCGUAGAUAUCGGGAGGAACACCAGUGGCGAAGGCGGCUUCCUGGACCUGUUCUGACGCUGAGGAGCGAAAGCGUGGGGAGCGAUCCGG